rnacentral:rRNA from 1 species
AGCGAACGCUGGCGGCAGGCCUAACACAUGCAAGUCGAACGAAGUCUUCGGACUUAGUGGCGGACGGGUGAGUAACACGUGGGAACGUGCCUUUAGGUUCGGAAUAACUCAGGGAAACUUGUGCUAAUACCGGAUGUGCCCUUCGGGGGAAAGAUUUAUCGCCUUUAGAGCGGCCCGCGUCUGAUUAGCUAGUUGGUGAGGUAAAGGCUCACCAAGGCUACGAUCAGUAGCUGGUCUGAGAGGAUGACCAGCCACAUUGGGACUGAGACACGGCCCAAACUCCUACGGGAGGCAGCAGUGGGGAAUCCUGCGCAAUGGGCGAAAGCCUGACGCAGCCAUGCCGCGUGGAUGAUGAAGGUCUUAGGAUUGUAAAAUCCUUUCACCGGUGAAGAUAAUGACUGUAGCCGGAGAAGAAGCCCCGGCUAACUUCGUGCCAGCCGCCGCGGUAAAAC